AGUCAUUGAUAGGGAUAGUUGGAGUCGCUAGUAUUCAGCGGCCAGAGUUGAAAUUCGCGGCUUCGCUGAAAACAAACUUACGCGAAAGCCUUCACCAUGUAUGUCUUCUUUAAUCAAGAACGAAAGUUGGGGGAUCGAAGACGAUCAGAUACCGUCGUAGUCUCAACCAUAAACUAUGCCGACUAGGGAUGAGUGAACGUUGCAUUUUCGACUUCAUUCGCACAUUAUGAGAAAUCAAAGUCUUUGGGUUCCGGGGGGAGUCAGGU
rnacentral:rRNA from 1 species